GUGGGUGUAGCUCAGGGGUAGAGCAUCGGUUUGUGGUUCCGAGGGUCGCGGGUUCAAAUCCCGUCAUCCACCC
rnacentral:tRNA from 1 species